rnacentral:rRNA from 1 species
GAUGAACGCUGGCGGCGUGCCUAAUACAUGCAAGUCGAGCGAACAGACGAGGAGCUUGCUCCUCUGACGUUAGCGCCGGACGGGAGAGUAACACGUGGAUAAACUACCUAUAAGACUGGGAUAAUUUCGGGAAACCGGAGCUAAUACCGGAUAAUAUAUUGAACCGCAUGGUUCAAUAGUUGAAGACGGUUUUGCGGUCACUUAUAGAUGGAUCCGCGCCGGAUUAGCUAGUUGGUAAGGUAACGGCUUACCAAGGCGACGAUGCGUAGCCGACCUGAACGGGUGAUCGGCCACACUGGAACUGAGACACGGUCCAGACUCCUACGGGAGGCAGCAGUAGGGAAUCUUCCGCAAAGGGGGAAAGCCUGACAGAGCAAAGCCGCGUGAGUGAUGAAGGUGUUCGGCUCGUAAAACUCUGUUGUUAGUGAAGAAGAAAUGUGUAAGUACCUAUGCACGUAUUGACGGUACCUAAUCAGAAAGCCACGGCUAACUACGUG